UCUAUUGGACAAUGGAGGCAACUCCGAUCCAGCAAUGCCGCGUGUGUGAUGAAGGCCCUAGGGUUGUAAAGCACUUUCAACGGUGAAGAUGAUGACGGUAGCCGUAGAAGAAGCCCCGGCUAACUUCGUGCCAGCAGCCGCGGUAAUACGAAGGGGGCGAGCGUUAUUCGGAAUUAUUGGGCGUAGAGGGCUCGCAGGCUGCUUGAACAGUUAGACGUGAAAUCCCCGGGCUCAACCUGGGAACUGCGUUUAAUACUAGCAAGCUAGAGAAAUAGAGAGGAAAGUGGAACUCCCAGUGUAGAGGUGAAAUUCGUAGAUAUUGGGAAGAACACCAGUGGCGAAAGCGACUUUCUGGCUAUUUUCUGACGCUGAGGAGCGAAAGCCUGGGGAGCAAACAGGAUUAGAUACCCUGGUAGUCCACGCCGUAAACGAUGUGUGCUACAUGUUGGAGGGAUACCUUUCAAUGUUCCAACUAACGCACUUAGCACACCGCCUGGGAAGUACGGUCCCAAGAUUAAACUCAAAGAAAUUGACGGGGCCCCCCAACGGGGACUGUUGUUAUUACCACCC
rnacentral:rRNA from 1 species